rnacentral:rRNA from 1 species
UUAAGCGACUAAGCGUACACGGUGGAUGCCCUGGCAGUCAGAGGCGAUGAAGGACGUGCUAAUCUGCGAAAAGCGUCGGUAAGGUGAUAUGAACCGUUAUAACCGGCGAUGUCCGAAUGGGGAAACCCAGUGCAAUUCGUUGCACUAUCGUUAACUGAAUACAUAGGUUAACGAGGCGAACCGGGGGAACUGAAACAUCUAAGUACCCCGAGGAAAAGAAAUCAACCGAGAUUCCCCCAGUAGCGGCGAGCGAACGGGGAGCAGCCCAGAGUCUGAAUCAGCUUGUGUGUUAGUGGAACGGUCUGGAAAGUCCGACGGUACAGGGUGAUAGUCCCGUACACCAAAAUGCACAGGCUGUGAACUCGAAGAGUAGGGCGGGACACGUGGUAUCCUGUCUGAAUAUGGGGGGACCAUCCUCCAAGGCUAAAUACUCCUGACUGACCGAUAGUGAACCAGUACCGUGAGGGAAAGGCGAAAAGAACCCCGGCGAGGGGAGUGAAAAAGAACCUGAAACCGUGUACGUACAAGCAGUGGGAGCACCUUCGGGUGUGACUGCGUACCUUUUGUAUAAUGGGUCAGCGACUUAUAUUCUGUAGCAAGGUUAACCGUAUAGGGGAGCCGCAGGGAAACCGAGUCUUAACUGGGCGUUAAGUUGCAGGGUAUAGACCCGAAACCCGGUGAUCUAGCCAUGGGCAGGUUGAAGGUUGGGUAACACUAACUGGAGGACCGAACCGACUAAUGUUGAAAAAUUAGCGGAUGACUUGUGGCUGGGGGUGAAAGGCCAAUCAAACCGGGAGAUAGCUGGUUCUCCCCGAAAGCUAUUUAGGUAGCGCCUCGUGAAUUCAUCUUCGGGGGUAGAGCACUGUUUCGGCUAGGGGGUCAUCCCGACUUACCAACCCGAUGCAAACUACGAAUACCGAAGAAUGUUAUCACGGGAGACACACGGCGGGUGCUAACGUCCGUCGUGAAGAGGGAAACAACCCAGACCGCCAGCUAAGGUCCCAAAGUCAUGGUUAAGUGGGAAACGAUGUGGGAAGGCACAGACAGCCAGGAUGUUGGCUUAGAAGCAGCCAUCAUUUAAAGAAAGCGUAAUAGCUCACUGGUCGAGUCGGCCUGCGCGGAAGAUGUAACGGGGCUAAACCAUGCACCGAAGCUGCGGCAGCGACACUAUGUGUUGUUGGGUAGGGGAGCGUUCUGUAAGCCUGCGAAGGUGACCUGUGAGGGUUGCUGGAGGUAUCAGAAGUGCGAAUGCUGACAUAAGUAACGAUAAAGCGGGUGAAAAGCCCGCUCGCCGGAAGACCAAGGGUUCCUGUCCAACGUUAAUCGGGGCAGGGUGAGUCGACCCCUAAGGCGAGGCCGAAAGGCGUAGUCGAUGGGAAACAGGUUAAUAUUCCUGUACUUGGUGUUACUGCGAAGGGGGGACGGAGAAGGCUAUGUUAGCCGGGCGACGGUUGUCCCGGUUUAAGCAUGUAGGCUGAUUGUCCAGGCAAAUCCGGAUAAUCAAGGCUGAGGUGUGAUGACGAGGCACUACGGUGCUGAAGUAACAAAUGCCCUGCUUCCAGGAAAAGCCUCUAAGCAUCAGGUAACAUCAAAUCGUACCCCAAACCGACACAGGUGGUCAGGUAGAGAAUACCAAGGCGCUUGAGAGAACUCGGGUGAAGGAACUAGGCAAAAUGGUGCCGUAACUUCGGGAGAAGGCACGCUGGUGUGUAGGUGAAGUCCCUGCGGAUGGAGCUGAGACCAGUCGAAGAUACCAGCUGGCUGCAACUGUUUAUUAAAAACACAGCACUGUGCAAACACGAAAGUGGACGUAUACGGUGUGACGCCUGCCCGGUGCCGGAAGGUUAAUUGAUGGGGUUAUCCGUAAGGAGAAGCUCUUGAUCGAAGCCCCGGUAAACGGCGGCCGUAACUAUAACGGUCCUAAGGUAGCGAAAUUCCUUGUCGGGU